UACGGGGGGAGCAAGCGUUGUUCGGAUUUACUGGGCGUAAAGGGCGCGUAGGCGGUCAGCACAAGUCAGUUGUGAAAUCUCCGGGCUUAACCCGGAAAGGUCAACUGAUACUGUGCGACUAGAGUGCGGAAGGGGCAACUGGAAUUCUCGGUGUAGCGGUGAAAUGCGUAGAUAUCGAGAGGAACACCUGCGGCGAAGGCGGGUUGCUGGGCCGACACUGACGCUGAUGCGCGAAAGCCAGGGGAGCAAACGGG
rnacentral:rRNA from 1 species